GAACGCUGGCGGCAUGCCUUACACAUGCAAGUCGAACGGCAGCACGGGAGCAAUCCUGGUGGCGAGUGGCGAACGGGUGAGUAAUAUAUCGGAACGUGCCCAGUCGUGGGGGAUAACGCAGCGAAAGUUGUGCUAAUACCGCAUACGAUCUAUGGAUGAAAGCGGGGGAUCGCAAGACCUCGCGCGAUUGGAGCGGCCGAUAUCAGAUUAGGUUGUUGGUGAGGUAAAAGCUCACCAAGCCUGCGAUCUGUAGCUGGUCUGAGAGGACGACCAGCCACACUGGAACUGAGACACGGUCCAGACUCCUACGGGAGGCAGCAGUGGGGAAUUUUGGACAAUGGACGCAAGUCUGAUCCAGCAAUGCCGCGUGCAGGACGAAGGCCUUCGGGUUGUAAACUGCUUUUGUACAGAACGAAAAAGUCUUUAAUAACACUAGAGGCUCAUGACGGUACUGUAAGAAUAAGCACCGGCUAACUACGUG
rnacentral:rRNA from 1 species